AGGAACCAAAACGGCACAAAACAGGCUUCUUAUGAAGAUGUAAAGGACAAAUUUUGCGUCAUGAUUAAUCUACAGCGGUCAAGUAGAUGGAGGUCUGCCGACGGUCAGGCGUAGAGUGAUGCUGCUUACACUCCACGAUGGGUACACUUCACCCAUCUGGACUUCCUGGAGGACACUUAGACCAUGGUAAAGCUAGGACGAUAUGGCCACACCUUCAUCUCCAACUACAAGACCACUUUUCAGGAAGUUGAUAAAAUGCACAAUGAGCCCAGAAGACCCCUCCCACCCUCUGCAGUGCAACCACCAGUCCAAGCACAAAGUGGGUCAAGUCCAGAUGGAGAGACACCCCAGACCUCCAGAAGGAGAGUCCAUCCCAGUGGGAAUAAUCAGGCGAAGGAGGUAUCAGCCACCGAGUCCGAUCCGUCUGCAGUUGUUGGGAUGCUACCAACACUUCAAUCGAUGGCCGAAAGUGGACAUCCAGCAACUGCUGAAAUAUCUUUUUCAAUAUUUAAAUAGCGAGUGAGAAUUUGAGAGAGCAGAGAUAUUGAAAUGGUGAGUAAUGUUUGUAUGUGUUCAUUGUGCAUACAUGAUUAAAUCGAUUAACCUACA
rnacentral:lncRNA from 1 species